CCACCUGGCCCGCUAAUAAAUGGAUAUUUAUAACCAGCGACGAUGCGAAAUGGCACCGACGGAACGCUCAUCCAUCCGGGCGUGGUCGAGGAUGACUCCGGUAAGGUCGGCGUAAUCGCUAUAUGCAUCCUGUUUGCGUUGGCCUUCCUCGUCGGAUCGAUUGUGCUCUGUUUAUAUCGCUACUACAAUCACGCACGCUCGACCACGAUGAACUUCGACAAUCCGGUGUACCGAAAAACUACCGAGGACCAGUUCAGCCUGGAGAAGAACAUGCAGAGCCGCAUGUACCCGAGCACCGUUGGCGAAGAGAUAAAUACAUUUCACUACCGCACUUGAAGUGUUUGCCAAAGUAGCUUAGCUGAAAAUUAAAGUUCUGUCGUAGGGUGGAGGUGGUGGUGGUGUUUUGUAUUAUGUGUGUGCGUGUGCGUCUGUGUCUGACACACGGAGUAGGGAGAUAAUGCAAAGAUAAGCAACCGGCAGCCAUACAAAGGGCCAUCGGAAAAGCGUGUGAAAAGAGAGAGAGUGAAGGAAAAUGCAACACACCUUCAAGCUUCAGAAGCUCUGCAAAAAUCGUAUCGUCAGCGCAUCUCAUCAGCGUGGCGGUGCAUCCACCGGACGUGGUUUCGAACAUCCCAUCCAUCCACCCUCCAAAGAGCGCACUACGUACUUGUACUAAAAACCGCAGCAAACGUGUCCUUCAUCAACGCUUUUCACCGUCCACACACACACACACUCAAAAGCGCGCGCAAUGAAGCACAUUAGUUCUACACUCACACGCCACGAAGCGUCAUAACUGUGCACCACCCAUCAUCAAAUGGCCAUCGUCACCGUGGGCCACUGAGGAAAACCCCAACCGACCGACAGACCAACGCAACUUUCGAAUCAUAAAAUGUACAAACGAAAACAACGCGCGAGAAUGCGAGAUGGUUGUUUGAACGUUUACGACCCGCACACGCGGAAGGCACAGGAACCGCUCACCCGACCGGCCACCAACGAUUAUGUCUAAUAGAUACCAAAAAAAACAAAAGACUCGUUGGUCCACGUACCACACGCAAAGCAAGCCAACCAACACGCUCAAGAAGUGAUUUUACAACAACAUCAAAACCAAUGGCGCUACAUGGAUGGGUCACUACAGCAGAAUAGAUAUUACCGGUGCAGCAGCAGCAUAAUCAUUACAGCAAAAGCAGUCGAACGCACCAGCCGGAAAACAACGCCCGUCUGGGUGGAAACGAGCUGGCGACAUUUGUCAUUCGAAGUCAAAGUGUCGUGCAUGUGCAAUAUAUUAUUUAAUAGGUAGUAGACAAAGUUCAGUGGAUCAUAAUUCAAAUUUGAGCAGAUUCUUAACAGUUAAACUUAGAUACAGGCACAACAAACUACAGACACUCACAGAGAUAACUAUAGAAGGUCAGGGAAUGAACCACAGCCCGCCGGUAAAUACUCAUCGAGUAUAGCAAAAAAAGCUUCAUUUCAUUUUCUUCUUUCCGGAAGAUCCCCAGAGGAUUCAGGUGGGAUAACAUCAGCAAAAUUUAAACUUUCCCUGCAAACACAUUUAGGUAGUCUUCAGAUGAAUCCCCCCCACAUACAUACAGAUGUAUGCAAUACGCUUCAGUGAUGGUGGAAAAUGACUGCUAUUAGUAUGAUUGUACGCGGGAAAAUUUAAAAGGGAAAACAAGCCGUUACACUUUUCCUGUUUGUUUUUGUAUAAUACUCCAUCGUGUGUGUGUGUAUGUGUACAUGAUAACUAAUUGUUUGCUGGAACUGAAAACCAUCCAAAAGCUCAUCCUAAACACAGCGCCUAAAUUUAUGCAAACCUGUUCUUUUUUAAACGAUUGCAUACUACACAUCGGGGAAAAAUGCGAAUCGGUGAAAUGAUACGAAUGAAAGGGAUAGAUGUAAAUCAUUUUUUCGAAUUGCUUAAUGUCCUAAAUUUGUUUUGUAGCUUUAAGUAGUGGAAAGUGUCAACCCAGAUCCAGUUGUGCUACUGUGGGAUACACGGAUAGGGCAGAGUUUAUUAGGUAACCACUGUUAAGCUGCUUCGUUUAUUGUAAUUCAAAACAAAAUUACGGUUAACGGCAGGUUUUUUGGCUUCUUCACUGUUGGUUUAGGGCAAAUUAGAGAAGAAAAAAGACGUGUGACGAUUGUUUAAUGUUAUGUUUCCCAAAAUUACACACAUACGGAAAAAAUGGAUAGGAUUUAAGGGACUCCUAGUACUAUGGUAGACUGAAAAGUGGGUAAACAGUGCGUCAUGAUGCACAUGCAACAUUGGCCAUGCUGUGUCAUCGAAAACCAUCGGAAACGGAACAAUUUUUGCGAACCGUGAAUGGCAGGCGAUAUUCACGGCGGGAAAAUUAAAUAUCUAAUUGUAAAUACACCAAGCCCAAGUUUCGUUAUGUAGUUUAAUUUUGUUUGUUUUUUCUCUCACUCAUUUGAAUCCUUUUCCCCCUUUUUAAAUACUUUAGUUUGGAUGACAUCAUUUUCUCCGCAUUCAUAGUCCUUUGUUUUCCUUUUGUUUCGUUCUUUCCACAUUUUUCCUCACACUUCACACAACCAACCAAUGUAGCACAAUUUGCAGCGUAGAUAGUGAAAUUUUCCUUCCAUAAAAUUAAACCGAAUCACAUUGUAAAACUCCUAUCGGGGUGAUGAUGUUCCUGUUUUGGUGGUGUUUGCAAAUCGAGCCAAACCCCUGUUAGCGCCUCGUUGCGAUAGAAUUUAAACAAAACUGCGAGCAAACUGCGAGCAAACGCAGAAAAGAGUAGCAAUCUGGCCGUUUGUCCCCAGUUUGUACUUGUUCCAGCCAAUCUUUGUUGCGUCCUAAUCCCAUUCUAGCAAUAUGUAACGUUUAUUAGCUUUUGCACACAACAAGUGUAACAAAAUGUUUCCGCAACUACUACUUCUACUACCAACUAAGUUCUUCCUAUGCAGAUCGUUAGAAAAUAUUGAGACAAAGAGGAAAGUGCUAGUGGAUGUGGAAAAUUUGUAAGAAAUCAAUUAGCGAGCUAGGAGAGGAAUUAGGAUUAUUAGGCGUUCGGUUUUUUGCUCAGAUAUUUCCCAUUCUUAACCCAACGGCACCGAAGCGUGUGUCCGGGUUGCAUAGACAUUUGCUCAAACUGAAAACGUAGUGACAUUUUUGGAUGCGGUGGAAAGCAGAUUGCACAGAAGGAGGGUUCCAAUGUGGUGCAUCUUACACUAGCAUAAGCAUAGCAUAAAGUAAAGCAACAAAAAAUUGCCCCAAACAACAGAGCAAAGAACGUUCGCCAAACAACAAGAGAGAGACUCUGCUCUGGUACUAAAUAAGGCCAAAUACUUUUUACACUUACAGAAGCUAACACCGACAGCUUACACAAAUGGUGAUUUAAUUCGAAUUCCUAGCGCAACGGUUAGCCAAAACACAAAACCAAUAAUCCAUCCAACAAACCCCACAGUGGUGGCCUGGUAACACUACACUCUGUCUCCUAUUAUCGGCUUUUUGUGAUUACAUUGCAGUCCGUUCGGUGAGGUUCGUUAUGGAGGGCGGCAGAGCAAAACCCAGUAUGCGAGGUAGAGCGAAAAAGAAGUGUUAUAGAAAAUGAGAGAUUUUUAAUUACAUAGAAGCAGAAAAAAUGAACGAGAACCAUCGUUUAUAGUUAACUAAUAACUAAUUUAUGCUAAUUUUAGAUCCCAUUUUUCUAGACACCCUACCUACAAAAAAAAAAACUCAAGCGCAAGGGAACAAAAUGGAGUGAAGCGAAAAGAUGCAGCCAAAAUUUGGGAGUUACUAACUUUACUGAAAACGCUCAAACAUUAAGCAAACCGACAGCGUGAACCCUUGAGAACAUUUAAAAAUACCGAAGGCUACGCGAACUACUACUGCAAAACUACUGUACUGGUCAAUGCAUAAAUGUAGUAAAAGUUUUUUCCACCUUCAUUCACUCCAAAUCAACCAAGUCAACGGAAGCGAACAAAAACCAUACAAAUUCAAUAUAACUAAAUUUACACCCACUUCACAGAUUUAAUGUAAUACGUAAGAUAUAAAUAGAGGUGGUUUAAACAAACAACAAAACGAUUAAACCAUGAUAACAAAAAGCAAGGCUCAACAUUGGCAAUUAAAGUAAAACAAAAGACGAACGAAAAGUAAAAACAAAAAAAAAA